rnacentral:tRNA from 1 species
AUCUUUUUAAUAUAAAUAAGUAUACUUGACUUCCAAUCAAAAUGUCCAACUAUGGAAAAGAUA